rnacentral:misc_RNA from 1 species
ACACGUAUCCAACGUUAAACCCCCCUGUGAACCUUUCAUUCUGUUGGAACGUGGCAAUCCCUGGUAAAAAUCAUCGCCGAACAGUUUUGAUUCAGGGACUUCUGCAAAGAGUGUAGGUUGUAGCGCGAGGCAAGUGGCCUGGCAUUCCUCUGCUUGUUAGUGUCUGAAAGUGUCACUGGCUCUGUAAGAAUGGCGCAGUCACGAUCGCUAGAGGCCGACACGGCCGGCGACCGGGUCACCGGGCUCACGGCCCCCUGUCACCCCUUUGCAUGAGGGCGGGCCUGCGCUUGAUUGUGCGGCCAUAAACCGAACAACUGUUAACAAUGGAUAUCUUGGUUCUC